rnacentral:rRNA from 1 species
UACGAAGGGGGCUAGCGUUGUUCGGAAUUACUGGGCGUAAAGCGUGCGCAGGCGGCUUCUCAAGUCAGGGGUGAAAGCCCAGAGCUCAACUCUGGAAUUGCCUUUGAGACUGCAUCGCUGGAGUACGGCAGAGGGGGAUGGAAUUCCGCGUGUAGCAGUGAAAUGCGUAGAUAUGCGGAGGAACACCGAUGGCGAAGGCAAUCCCCUGGGCCUGUACUGACGCUCAUGCACGAAAGCGUGGGGAGCAAACAGG